AUUUAUAUAGUUUAAUAAAACAUUACAUUUUCACUGUAAAAACAAAUUUAAAAAAAAUUUUAUAGAUU